ACUCCUACGGGAGGCAGCAGUGGGGAAUAUUGCACAAUGGGCGCAAGCCUGAUGCAGCCAUGCCGCGUGUGUGAAGAAGGCCCUUCGGGUUGUAAAGCACUUUCAGUUGUGAGGAAGGUGGUGUCGUUAAUAGCGGCAUCAUUUGACGUUAGCAACAGAAGAAGCACCGGCUAACUCCGUGCCAGCAGCCGCGGUAAUACGGAGGGUGCGAGCGUUAAUCGGAAUUACUGGGCGUAAAGCGCAUGCAGGUGGUUUGUUAAGUCAGAUGUGAAAGCCCGGGGCUCAACCUCGGAACUGCAUUUGAAACUGGCAGACUAGAGUACUGUAGAGGGGGUAGAAUUUCAGGUGUAGCGGUGAAAUGCGUAGAGAUCUGAAGGAAUACCGGUGGCGAAGGCGGCCCCCUGGACAGAUACUGACACUCAGAUGCGAAAGCGUGGGGAGCAAACAGGAUUAGAUACCCUGGUAGGACAGUG
rnacentral:rRNA from 1 species